rnacentral:tRNA from 1 species
GAGCUUAGUUGGUUAGAGCGUGGUGCUAAUAACACCAAGGUUGUGGGUGUGAUCCCAAUACG